CCCUUAGACGUUCUGGGCCGCACGCGCGCUACACUGACCGGUGCAACAAGCAUCCGUCCUUGGCCGACAGGCCCGGGCAAUCUUUGAACGCCGGUCGUGAUGGGGAUAGACUUUUGCAAUUUUUGGUCUUCAACGAGGAAUUCCUAGUAAACGCAAGUCAUCAACUUGCAUUGAUUACGUCCCCGCCCUUUGUACACACCGCCCGUCGCACCUACCGAUUGAAUGGUCCGGUGAAGCCUCCGGAUUGGCGCGCACCUCGGUGCCGCCGAGAAGUUGGCUAAACCUUACCAUUUAGAGGAAGGUGAAGUCGUAACA
rnacentral:rRNA from 1 species